rnacentral:rRNA from 1 species
UACGUAGGGCGCGAGCGUUGUCCGGAAUUAUUGGGCGUAAAGAGCUUGUAGGCGGUUUGUCGCGUCUGCCGUGAAAAUCCGGGGCUCAACCCCGGACUUGCGGUGGGUACGGGCAGACUAGAGUGUGGUAGGGGAGACUGGAAUUCCUGGUGUAGCGGUGAAAUGCGCAGAUAUCAGGAAGAACACCGAUGGCGAAGGCAGGUCUCUGGGCCACUACUGACGCUGAGAAGCGAAAGCGUGGGGAGCGAACAGG